rnacentral:rRNA from 1 species
UGGCGCGUGUUGUCCGGAUUUACUGGGCGUAACGGGAGCGUAGGCGGAUUUUUACGUGGGAUGUGAAAUACUCGGGCUUAACCUGCGUGCUGCAUUCCAAACUGGGAAUCUAGAGUGCAGGAGGGGAGAGUGGAAUUCCUAGUGUAGCGGUGAAAUGCGUAGAGAUUAGGAAGAACACCAGUGGCGAAGGCGACUCUCUGGACUGUAACUGACGCUGAGGCUCGAAAGCGUGGGGAGCA